GUCUUCUUGGAAGAGUUGGGAAGUCUGACCUGCCCACUGAUUUAAAGGGCCGCGGUAUUAUGACCGUGCGAAGGUAGCAUAGUCAAUAGUCUCUUAAUUGGAGGCUGGAAUGAACGGUUGGACGGGAAGAGAGCUGUCUUGUGUAGCUAGGAAUGAACUUGACUUUUAUGUGAAAAGGCAUAAAUGUAUUGGGGGGACGAUAAGACCCUGUAAAACUUAAUGAUUUGGCUGGGUCUUUGAAUUUAAUAAGGGCUUGGGUAAAAUUAUUUUGCUGGGGAGGUAAGGAUAAAAUAACUGUUAUGAAAUGGAAAUAAAGAUAAUUAGGUGGUGACCCUUAAUUUAGGUUUAAGAGUUUAAGUUACUUCAGGGAUAACGCGUAAUUUCUCUUGAGAGUUCAUAUCGACAGAGAUAGUGCGACCUCGAUGUUGAAUUAAAACUUCUGUAGAGUAGAAGUUUAUGGGGCAGGUCUGUUCGACUUUAAAGUUUU
rnacentral:rRNA from 1 species